rnacentral:rRNA from 1 species
CAGCCCUAAACGAUGCGCGUUAGGUGUAUCGGUGACCACGAGUCACCGAGGUGCCGAAGGGAAACCGUGAAACGUGCCGCCUGGGAAGUACGGUCGCAGGGCUGAAACUUAAAGGAAUUGGCGGGGGAGCACCACAACAGGUGGAGCCUGCGGUUUAAUUGGAUUCAACGCCGGACAUCUCACCGGAUAAGACAGCUGAAUGAUUGUCAAUCUGAAGGUUUUACAUGACUAGCUGAGAGGUGGUGCAUGGCGUAGACGUCU